AACGAACGCUGGCGGCAGGCCUAACACAUGCAAGUCGAGCGGAUGAGGGAAGCUUGCUUCCCGAUUUAGCGGCGGACGGGUGAGUAAUGCCUAGGAAUCUGCCUAUUAGUGGGGGAUAACGUUCCGAAAGGAACGCUAAUACCGCAUACGUCCUACGGGAGAAAGUGGGGGAUCUUCGGACCUCACGCUAAUAGAUGAGCCUAGGUCGGAUUAGCUAGUUGGUGAGGUAACGGCUCACCAAGGCGACGAUCCGUAGCUGGUCUGAGAGGAUGAUCAGCCACACUGGAACUGAGACACGGUCCAGACUCCUACGGGAGGCAGCAGUGGGGAAUAUUGGACAAUGGGCGAAAGCCUGAUCCAGCCAUGCCGCGUGUGUGAAGAAGGUCUUCGGAUUGUAAAGCACUUUAAGUUGGGAGGAAGAGUUGUAAGCUAAUAUCUUGCAGCUUUGACGUUACCAACAGAAUAAGCACCGGCUAACUCUGUGCCAGCAGCCGCCGUAAAAC
rnacentral:rRNA from 1 species